CCGUGUGCCUGCUGUUAAACUGAGUUUCUGAAAUCAAGAAUAUGACAACCAAAACUAUUUGCCUCUAUGAUCGAUCAUCCCAAGAAUGCUUGGAACUCUUUGGAAGUGGUAGAUAAAAGUGGUAGAUCAAUGGGAUCCCAAUUGGGGUGCUUGCCCUUUUAACCAUCAAUGGUCCUGGUUCACCUGCUCAGCUGGGCUGAUGUCAUGGAAACCAGCCUUGACCUCACAAACUGCCCCUUGAUGAUGCUGGCAGCUGGACUAUUAAUGUCCAACUCCAUGUGCCAUAUCUUCAUCUUUCCUUGGGGUCAACCAUGACCGCAUAUCAGGGCAGCCUUCUAGGAUCCCGUGGCUCUCAGGUGUAAAAGGUGCAUCAUUAAGGUAAAAG
rnacentral:lncRNA from 1 species